CCGUCCCCAGUGUCUACUGUUGCCAUCUUUUCAUCCGUAAGUACUCAAUGUUUAGCUCUCACUUGUAAGAACGUGUUGUUUGGUUUUCUGUUCCUGCAUUCAUUUGCUUAGGAUAAUGGCCUUCAACUGCAUACACGCAAAGAACAUGAUUUCAUUCUUUUGUAUGGCUGUAUAGUAUUCCAUAGUGUAUAUGUACUGCAUUUUCCUCAUGUAAUCUAAUCUCUAUUUAAUUAAUCAUUGAUAGGUACCUGGGUUGAUUCCACGUCUUUGCUAUUGUGAAUAGUCUUGCAAUGAAGAUAUUAGUGUAUGUGUCUUUUUGGUAGAAUAAUUUAUUUUCAUUUGGAUAUAUACACAUUAAUGGGAUUACUGGAUUGAAUGGUAGUUCUGUUUUAAUUUCCUUGAGAAAUCUCCAAACUGCUUUAUACAGUGACUGAACUAAUUAACAUUCCUACCAACAGUGUAUAAGUGUUCCCUUUUCUCCACAGUUGUGCCAGCAUCUGUUGUUUUAACUUUCUUUAUUAGAAAUAAAUAAUGGUCAUUUUUACUGAUGUGAUAUCCCACUGGGUUUUGAUUUACAUUUCUCUCAUGAUUAGUGACGUUGAACAUUUUUUCAAGUUUGUUGGCUUCUUUUGAGAAGUAUCUGUUCAUGUAUUUUGCUGAUUUUUUAAUGGGGUUAUUUGUUUUUGGUCUGGUGUCCAGGCUGGAGUGCACUGACAUGAUCUUGGCUCACCUCAACCUCGACCUCCCAGGUUCAAGUGAUUUUCCCACCUCAGCCUCCUGAGCAGCUGGGACAACGAUCAGAUGGAUAUUGGCUUCAUUCUUUAAUUUCGAUAUGGACUCACUUACAAAUGGACCACCUGACUACUGUCAUCACAAGUUCCCCGGGGAAGAGAACCUAAUUAGAAGAGACAAGCUCUCUAGAGGAGAUUGUCUCUCUGUCCAGUGAGUGUUGGUCAUUUGUGUUAUGGAAAUAGUGCACAAUGAGGGUCAUGACAAUAGUCUACACCAAGGAAUGGUAAAUUUUUCUCUGUAAAGGGGCUGAUAUGGACCCGGUGGGAGGUAAUUGAAUCAUUGGGGCAUGUCUUUGCUGUGCUGUUCUCAUGAUAGUGAAUAAGGCUCACGAAACAUGAUGGUUUUAAAAAGAGGAGUUUCCUUGAACAAGCUCUCUUUGCCUGUUACCAUCCAUAUAAGAUGUGACUGGUUUCUCCUUGCCUUCUGCCAUGAUUGUGAGGCUUCUCCAGCUACAUGGAACUGUGAGUCCUCCAUUUAACCUCUUUCCUUUGUAAAUUGCCAAUUUGUAAAUUGUGCGAAUAAAUCUUUAUUUACAAAAAUAGGGAUGGGGCAGGAUUGGUUCCUCAUGCUGUCAUUUGCUGACCCCUAGUCUACAACUACACUAUGAGCAGAAAAGACUAUUUAACAAAGGGGUGGGGCAAGUUGGAGGGGGUAAUCAUCUCCAGUAUUCUCACCAAGCACUGAAUAUUGGAAGCAGAGGCCUUUCAUGUAUGGGGAAACCUAAAGCAUGACUGCAAGUGAUAAAGCAUUCACAUCAUGUUCAGAGAACAGUUCUCAUUCUAUCAACAGAAUUUCACCCUCAGGAACAUGCCUGCCUUCCCUCAGGAUAAGUAGGGAAGGGAGAGCUCAGAAAAAAGAGGACAGUUCAGCCAACUGAGUUGGAAUAGAGAGAUUCAUAACAUUGUAGGGAGGGCAGGUUUUCAGAAAUAUAUGCCUAAUGAUCUCAUAUCUAGUUAUAGCCCUGCUGGGAAUUGUACAUUGUAGGGAACACGGUAGAGCAAUGCACAAGGUGAAGUUGGAAACAAGGCAGUAGGCAAUUUUAAAGUCCCAUUUUGAGCUAGGAAGAAAAAGGGGAUAUAAAUAUUGCAUGAAGUAGUGUCUUAAAAUCCUAUUCUAUCCAUUUCAGCAAACUAGAUACUCAGUGUUUAAUAGCACCUGAAGCCAGCUAUAAUAAGGAUGAAGGAAAGAUAUGUGCACCAGUGGAGUAGCCACCUCAACAGCACCGAUAAUACCAAGAGCUAAAAGGUCGUGUUUGUUUAAUGCUUUCCAUAAGCAACUGGUCUGACCAAAAGAAUUCUGCAGGAAUGAUUAAGCUUUCUUUAGCGCUUAUUGUAGCCUAGAUAUGGUCAGCAAGACCGAGCUCUGCAAUCAGUAGAACGGGACAAUCACAGAUAGGUUUCAGUGACCUCUCUUGGCAGCAAUUUUCCUCUCUGCCCUCACUGGCUUCAAUAGAUUCCCUGGUUUGCAGUUAUUACCUUGGCAGGACUGUUCUGCCCCUCUCUGUCAUGUAAGAUAGCCUGGGAUAAAAAGGGAGAUGGCAACAACUGAAGCAGGUGGAUACUAGAGGGGUUAUUAAAAUACUGAGUACUUGAUAUUUUAAAAUAAAAAAUUAAAAGCAAAUGGUUUCCAAAUACCUGCCAACCUUGGAGAUAUUGGGGAUUUGUUUCGAGACUAAUGCAAUAAAGCAAAUAUCAAAAUAAAGCAAGUCACAUUAAUUUUUAGUUUUUCAGUGCAUAUAAUAGUUAUGUUUCUCUAUAUAGUAUAUAUAUAUAUAAUGAAUAUACAAUAGUCUUUUAAGUAUGCAACGGUAUUAUGUAUAAAAAACAAUGUCCAUACCUUAAUUAAAAACACUUUAUUGCUAAAAUAUGCUAACAAUCAUCUGAGCCUUCAGCAAGGCAUAAUCUUUUUGCUAGCAAAUGGUCUUGCUCGAUGUUGACAGCUGCUGACUGAUCAGGGUGGUGGUUGCUGAAGGCUGGGGUGAUUGUGACAAUUUCUUAAGAUAAAACAACAAUGAAAUUUGCUACAUUGACUGACUCUUCCUAUCAUGAAAGAUUUCUCUGCAGCAUACAGGGCUAUUUGACAGCGUUUUAUGCACAGCAGAACUUUUGCAACUGGAUUCAAUCUUCUCAAAACGUGUUGCUGCUUUAUCAAGUGAGUUUAUGAACUAUUAUAAAUCCUUUGCUGUCAUUUCAACAAUAUUCACAGCAUCCUUACUAGGAAUAGAUUUAUUCUGAAGAAACCACUUUCUUUUCUCAUCCAUAAGAAACAACUCCCCCCAUUCAUUCAAGUUUGAUCAUGACAUUACAACAACCCAGUCACAUCUUUGGGCUCCACUUCUAAUUCUAAUUCUCUUGCUAUUUUCAUCACAUUGGCACUUACUUUCUUCUCUGAAGUCUUGAACCCCCUAACGUCAUCCAUCAGGGUUGGAAUCAACUUCUUCCAAACUCCAAUUAAUAUUGAUAUUUUGACCUCCUCUCAUGAAUCAAAAAUAUCCUAAUAGCAUCUAGAAUGGUGAAUCCUUUCCAGAUGGUUUUUAAUUUACUUUGCUUAAAUCCAUCAGAGGAAUUACUAUCUAUGGCUGCUAUAGUGUUAACAAAGGUAUUUCUUGAAUAAUAAGACUUGAAAGACAAAAUUACUCCUUAAUCCAUGGGCUACAGAGUGAAUGUGCUGUUAGCAGGCAUGAAAACAAGAGUAAUCUUCUGUGCAUCACAAUCAGAGCUUUUGAGUGACUAGGUGCAUUGUCAAUGAGCAGUAAUAUUUUGAAAAGAAUCUUUUUUCUGAGUAGUGUAUCUCAACUGGGGACUUAAAAUAUUCAGUACACCACACUAUGAAGAGAUGUGCUCUCGCCAAGAUUUGUUCCAUUUAUAGAGCAAAGGUGGAGUAGAUUUAGCAUAAUUCUUCAAAGCUCUAGGAUUUUAGGAAUGGUAAAUGAACACUGGCUUUUAAAGUCACUAGUUGUGUUAGCCCCUCACAAGAAAGUCAGCCUGUCCCUUUGAUGCUUUGAAGCUGGUCAUUACUUUCUCCUCUCUAAGCUAUGAAAGUCCUACAUGGCAUCUUCUUGCAAUAGAAGGCUGCUCCAAACUUUUCUUCUGCAACUUCCUCACCUCUCUCAGUCUUCGUGGAACUGAGGUGAGUUAAGGCCUUGCUCUGCACUAGGCUUUGGCUUAAUGAAAUGUUGUGGCUGGUUUGAUGUUCUGUCCAGACCACUAAAAACAUUUUUCAUAUCAGCAAUAAGCCUGUUUCACUUCCUUAUUUAUGUGUUCACUGGAGUAACACUUUUAACUUCCUUCAAGAACUCUUCCUUUGCAUUCACAAUUUUGCUAACUAAUUGGUGCAAUAGGCCUAGCUUUUAGCCUAUCUCAGCUUUGUUUUUUUUUUUUUUUUUUUUUUCUUUUCUUCCAGCCUGUGUUGCCCAGGCUGGAGUGCUGUGCAGCCUCAAAUUUCUGGGCUCAAGCAAUCCCCCCACCUCACUCUCCAGAGUAGCUGGGACUAUAGGCACACACCACCACACCCAGCUAAAUUUUUUAUUUUUUAACAAAGACUGAGUCUCACUACUUUGCUCAGGCUGGUCUCAAACUCCUGGUCUCAAGCA
rnacentral:lncRNA from 10 species